rnacentral:rRNA from 1 species
AUUCGUACGACGAGUUUGAUCCUGGCUCAGGAUGAACGCUAGCGGCAGGCCUAACACAUGCAAGUCGAGGGGUAGAGUUCUUCGGGACUUGAGACCGGCGCACGGGUGCGUAACGCGUAUGCAAUCUACCUUAUACAGGGGAAUAGCCCAGAGAAAUUUGGAUUAAUGCCCCAUGGUAUUAUGGAGUGGCAUCACUUUAUAAUUAAAGUUCCAACGGUAUAAGAUGAGCAUGCGUCCCAUUAGUUAGUUGGUAAGGUAACGGCUUACCAAGACAAUGAUGGGUAGGGGUCCUGAGAGGGAGAUCCCCCACACUGGUACUGAGACACGGACCAGACUCCUACGGGAGGCAGCAGUGAGGAAUAUUGGUCAAUGGGCGCAAGCCUGAACCAGCCAUGCCGCGUGCAGGAAGACGGUCCUAUGGAUUGUAAACUGCUUUUAUACAGGAAGAAACCUCCCUACGAGUAGGGACUUGACGGUACUGUAGGAAUAAGGAUCGGCUAACUCCGUG